rnacentral:rRNA from 1 species
CCUACGGGAGGCAGCAGUGGGGAAUUUUGGACAAUGGGCGAAAGCCUGAUCCAGCAAUGCCGCGUGCAGGAUGAAGGCCUUCGGGUUGUAAACUGCUUUUGUACGGAACGAAACGGUCUGCCCUAAUACGGUGGGCUAAUGACGGUACCGUAAGAAUAAGCACCGGCUAACUACGUGCCAGCAGCCGCGGUAAUACGUAGGGUGCGAGCGUUAAUCGGAAUUACUGGGCGUAAAGCGUGCGCAGGCGGUUAUAUAAGACAGAUGUGAAAUCCCCGGGCUCAACCUGGGACCUGCAUUUGUGACUGUAUAGCUAGAGUACGGUAGAGGGGGAUGGAAUUCCGCGUGUAGCAGUGAAAUGCGUAGAUAUGCGGAGGAACACCGAUGGCGAAGGCAAUCCCCUGGACCUGUACUGACGCUCAUGCACGAAAGCGUGGGGAUCAAACAGGAUUAGAUACCCUGGUAGUCCACGCCCUAAACGAUGUCAACUGGUUGUUGGGUCUUCACUGACUCAGUAACGAAGCUAACGCGUGAAGUUGACCGCCUGGGGAGUACGGGCCGCAAGGGUUGAAACUCAAAGGAAUUGACGG